rnacentral:rRNA from 1 species
UACGGAGGAUCCGAGCGUUAUCCGGAUUUAUUGGGUUUAAAGGGAGCGUAGGCGGAUUGUUAAGUCAGUUGUGAAAGUUUGCGGCUCAACCGUAAAAUUGCAGUUGAUACUGGCAGUCUUGAGUGCAGUAGAGGUGGGCGGAAUUCGUGGUGUAGCGGUGAAAUGCGUAGAUAUUAGGAGGAACACCAGUGGCGAAAGCGGCUCUCUGGUCUGUAACUGACGCUGAGGCUCGAAAGCGUGGGGAGCGAACAGG